rfam:Felis catus isolate Cinnamon breed Abyssinian chromosome B2, whole genome shotgun sequence.
GCCUGGGUGGCUCAGUGGGGUGGGCGUCUGACUUCGGCUCAGGUCAUGAUCUCGCGGUCCGUGGGUUCGAGCCCCGCGUCGGGCU